GCCCUCCCGCGUCCACGGCCUGCUGUGUCCCCCGCCCCACCGCCACCCCGCGUCCCCUCUGGCCCGCCGUGUCCCCCGCCGCCCCACGCCGCACUGCCCCUGCCGUGCCCCCUCUUAUUCCCCUUCUCUAGUUCCAGCGCUCCAGCGAAACCAUGGCGUGACGGGCGUGGUGACCAUGGCCACGCCGGCCGGGAUGACGGCGCCGCGCCGUCCAUUGUUGACCUUGUCGCGCCUGCUAGUCGGAAGACUAUCGCAUUUACCCGACGUUGUACCCCCCUCCUACCCAACAGGCUAUAAGGGCUAGAUGAUCAGUCCAGCAAUGCGGUGUCAGGCAUGGUUUGCUACAUAUGCAGAUGAGACAUCUCUGAAAAACUGAGAUCUGGUUAGCACAAAUCAUUUGUACCAUCAGGCACUUAAAUUAUACUAUGAUGACUAUGUGUUUGCAUUGGUUUGUUUGCACAAAAGAAACCAUUAGUUGUUCAUACUUUAUUUAUCAUUGAGUUAUCUUCUUUAUCUGCAAGAACAUGUUCUUAUGGGUGUCAUAGUCUGAUGGUCGAUGUAUACUAUCAUGUAAUGCAAGGGGCGAAGCCAGCAAUCUGGCGUGGUUUGGUGUCCGCCAUACGUAAAAUUUGCUAAGACGUAUGAAAAUUUGAGCUAAGACGUGCCUCCCUGCGGGGCUUGAUUGCUCAUCGCCGGGUCGUGGCCUGAUGCAGUGGGCUUGUAGGUUGUAACUUGACUGCACGUCAGCACAUCAGUAAAACUAGCAAUUACUCGGCAAGGCCGCGAGAGUCAGUAUGCUAUAAUGGCGCCAAAGAAGAAAGUGCGUACUAUGAUGAAAGGCAAUUGCGGUGGUUGAGUGAAAUAUGCUCUGCUAUUCAAUUUGUUCUAGUGCACUUCCAUUGUUGAAUGACCAAUUGAUUCGGUUCUGCUUGUAAUUUUGUUAUGCAGAUUUAAAGAGCAGUUUUGCCAAGCAAGUCUCACUGAAGCCAGUUUAACUUUGGAUGUAGUUGCCAUGUUCUGUUAAGAAAGUAAAGCUUCAUUAUGGGUUUAUAACUAUGUAUUCUUUAUCGAUCUUCACUAUGACUUUAUUCUUCACUACGGUUUUAUCCUACUAGUUACCAAUUCAUGAUUUAUCUAUAGUUUCUAUGUUUUAUAGAUAAUCUUUAUGUCUGUCUGGUUAAUAUACAUGAUAAAUUAUUGAUCGGUCAUCCAUCUAGUGACGUAUGUUGAGUGCGAACACUUCAAUUUUGGAUUUUGGUUGUAUUUUCAGAACACAAAGUAAUAUAUAUCUACUAUUCUAGUGAGCUCUUGCCUAAUUGCAUGAUAUAUGAUUAGCUCCUUCAUAAACCCCGCCACACCUAAAAAUAAUUUCUGCCUUCAUCAUAUGCAGGCUCUUACACAAAGAAUAUUCUUGAGGUGAUGCUAUGUAGAGUUCGAGCUUAUCAACAUUCUUGCCAGCCUUUGGAACUAACCAGUUGGUGUAUCUCUAUUCAUUUGCAGACUUUGGCAGCUAAACAAGGAGUGUCUUAUCAACAAAAUUCCACCACCUCCAGUUCGACCAACUGCUUGUUUGAUCGCUCUUGUAGAUUUUGGAAACAAGCACAGAACUACCAACUUUGUGUGCUCAGCAACAUGUAGAACAUGAAGUCUAUUUGAAGACCAACUUUUUGGGUGAAUGCAUAGAUAACAUAGAUACAUAUUGUUACAAGUUUUUUUGUAGUAGUAGAUACUUGGAUUGACCAACAAAGCUUGUACGUGCUGAUUUAGGUAUUCUGCUAGUUGUAGCAUUUUUUUUUAAUUUUGGUUCUAAACUGACCUUGAAUCUGGUUUCAAACUGACCUUGGGUCUGAUGUAUGUGUGUCAUUUGAACAUAAAUCUGAUGUGUACAUUGAAUUACGGCUGUAAUUAUAAAUUUGAAUUAUUGUUCA